rnacentral:tRNA from 1 species
CGAUCAGUAUCCCGGAGCGAAACUGGGGCUGGCCUGUCACGCCGGAGGUCGCGGGUUCAAGUCGCGUCUCUACAGCCA